GAUCAUGGCUCAGGACGAACGCUGGCGGCGUGCUUAACACAUGCAAGUCGAACGAAGGGUAGAAAUACCCUUAGUGGCGGACGGGUGAGUAACGCGUGAGCAAUCUGCCCUUGUCAGGGGAAUAACACAUAGAAAUGUGUGCUAAUACCGCAUGACGUUACGAAGUGGCAUCACUUUGUAACCAAAGAAUUAUCGGACAAGGAUGAGCUCGCGUCCCAUUAGGUAGUUGGUGAGGUAACGG
rnacentral:rRNA from 1 species